GAUGAACGCUGGCGGCGUGCCUAACACAUGCAAGUCGAACGGAGUCCAGCCUUUAAGACCUUCGGGUCAAAGAGGGGAAGACUGAGUGGCGGACGGGUGAGUAACACGUGGGCAACCUGGCUCAUAGAGGGGGAUAACAGAGAGAAAUUUCUGCUAAUACCGCAUAAGCACACACUGCCGCAUGGCAGAGGGUGAAAAGAGAAUCGCUAUGAGAUGGACCCGCGUCUGAUUAGCCAGUUGGCAGGGUAAGAGCCUACCAAAGCGACGAUCAGUAGCCGAUCGGAGAGGAUGACCGGCCACAUUGGGACUGAGACACGGCCCAAACUCCUACGGGAGGCAGCAGUGGGGGAUAUUGCAAAAUGGGGGGAACCCUGAUGCAGCGACGCCGCGUGAGUGAAGAAGUAUUUCGGUAUGUAAAGCUCUAUCAGCAGGGAAGAUAAUGACAGUACCUGAAUAAGAAGCCCCGGCUAACUACGUG
rnacentral:rRNA from 1 species